UGGGGAAUCAUGGUCAAUGGGCGAAAGCCUGAACCUGCGACGCCGCGUGAGUGAUGAAGGUCGUAAGAUCGUAAAACUCUUUUCAGGGAUCUUAAAGCCUGUCUGUCAACAACAGGCAGGUCUGACUCUCCCUGGAAGAAGCCCCAGCCAACCACGUGCCAGCAGCUGCGGUAAUACGUAGGGGGCGAGCGUUAUUCGGAAUUACUGGGUGUAAAGGGUAUGUAGGCGGCCAUUCAAGUCGCGUGUCAAAGUCCAGUGCUCAACGCUGGGUGUACACGCGAUAGGGACGGGCUUGAUGGCUGGAGAGGUGAGCGGAAUUUCCGGUGUAGUGGUAAAAUACGUAGAGAUCGGGAGGAACACCAGCGGCGCAGGCGGCUCACUAGACAGUUUCUGACGCUAAGAUACGAAAACGUGGGGAGCAAACA
rnacentral:rRNA from 1 species